UGCUCAGCAUUUCCUAUCCCUACCUCCUCGUGAUACCGGCCGGAAACUAUGAGCAACCUUAGAAAAGAUUGGGAACUUUGGUCGUAGGCUGACAGGGAAGG
rnacentral:ribozyme from 1 species